rnacentral:rRNA from 1 species
UGCCAGCAGCCGCGGUAAUACAGAGGGUGCAAGCGUUAAUCGGAAUUACUGGGCGUAAAGCGUGCGUAGGCGGACUUACAAGUUGGAUGUGAAAGCCCUGGGCUCAACCUGGGAACUGCAUCCAAAACUGUAAAUCUAGAGUCGUGUAGAGGGAAGUGGAAUUUCCGGUGUAGCGGUGAAAUGCGUAGAUAUCGGAAGGAACACCAGUUGCGAAGGCGGCUUCCUGGACACAGACUGACGCUGAGGUACGAAAGCGUGGGUAGCAAACAGGAUUAGAUA